UUUUUUUUUUUUUUAAUCAUUCCAGUCUAAGAAAUACUCAUUAAGCAUCUCUGAUGAGCCAGGCAUGAGGCUAGGCACUGGGGACAUAAACAAAGCAGCCAGUCUCCAAUUUGGCUGGAGGUCACAAGCCGGUAAACUCUCAGUGCGAGAAAUGCUGGAUGGAUCAGACGUGGUCCCCUCCCCUGAGAAACUCAGACUAGUUGAUGAGGAAGACAAGCAUCUUAGAGCCACAGAACAACGUGGUAAGUACCAAACUAUGGAGAUGGAAAGGUCAUUCCUUCCGGGAGAUGAAGGAAGGCUUGCUCAAGAAGGUGAGAAGCUGUGUAGAUGGACAUGUGAGAGAGGCCAGGCAAGGAGGGACAUUUGAGGAGGGAAGGGAACAGGUUAGAAGGCAUGAACAAAGGACAUGGUGGAAAGGAUAGAGAGAGGCAGGCGGGAUCAAGGGGAUAGAUUAAAGGUGGCUACGCAUUUCUUGGCAUCCUCUCCACUGGCAGAUGGGUCCUCAAUCCUCCUCUGGAAUCUGUUGGCCUUGUGACUAUGUGACCAAGAGAAAGUAUCUGAAAUAAAGAAUUUACAGGAUGGGAAUAGCUGCUGUGGGUCAGUAGUAAUGAACCCAAUUGGUAUCCAUGAGGAUGUGGGUUUGAUCCCUGGCCUCACUCAGUGGGUUAAGGAUCCAGCAUUGCCAUGAGCUGUGGUGUAGGUCACAGACAUAGCUUGGAUCCCGCAUUGCUGUGGCUGUGGUACAGGCCAGUAGCUACAGCUCCGAUUUGACCCCUAGCCUGGGAACCUCAAUAUGUAGCAGGUGCAGCCCUAAAAAGCAAAAGGAAAAAGCAAUUUACCGGAUGGACUUAAUAUGAGAAUGGAGAUGACAUAAGAAAGAAUCAAAGAACUACAGACAGAUCAAUAGAAAUGACUCAAUCUGAAAAAGAGAGAUUUUUAAAAAUGAGCAGAGCAAGGUUUCUGAAAGAGAGAGAAUAGGGUCAAAAAAAUAGUGAAGAAUAAUGGCUAAUAACUUCCCAAAUUUGCAGAAAGACCUAAAUUUACAAAUUCAAAAAGCUCAGCAAACCUCAAACAGAAUAUACAUGAAGAAAACCAUUCUAAGAACACCAGUCAAAAUAAUGAAAAUCAGAAGAAAAAUAAAAUCUUGAAAUUAGCCAGACAAAAAAUGACACGUUAUAUACAGAAAACGAUGAUUCAAAAUUUUCACAAGCUUAACAUGAGAAAGUAUAGAGUCCAAAACACAGUGGAAUAACAUCUUUAAAGUGUUGAAAUAAAUUCUGUAUUUGGUGAAAACGUCCCUCAAGAAUAAAAGCAAAUGAAACAUUUUUCAAAUAAAAGAAAACUAAGAGAAUUUGUUGCUGAUAGACCAACACUUUAAGAAAUGCUGGGAGUUCCUGUUGUGGCUCAGUGGUUAACAAAUCCAAGUAGGAACCAUGAGGAUGUGGGUUCGAUUCCUGGCCUCGCUCAGUGGGUUAAGGAUCCGGUGUUGCUUUGAGCUGUGGUGUAGGUCCCAGGCGCAGCUUGGAUCCUGCACUGCUGUGGCUGUGGUGUAGGCUGUCAGCUGAAGCUUCAAUUAGACCCCUAGCCUGGAAACCUCCAUGUGCUACAGGUGCUGCCCUAAAAAAACAAAAACAAAAAAAAUUUAAGGUAUCUGUGGUGGGCAGAAUUGUCCCAAAGAUGCCCAUGCUCUAAAAUCCAGAUCCCACGAAUAUGUCAUUACAUAAAAAAUAAAAAAGGUUACAGAAGUACUUAAGGGCCUUAAGAUAGGGAGAUUAACCACACGUAAUCAACCCCAUGUAAUCACAUAUCCUUAAAAGCAGAAAACUUUUUCCAGCCAGAAUGAGAGAGACAUGGCAGAGGAGUCAGAAAUUCCCAGAGUCAAGGGUGAAGAAAUGGGACCAGCCAUUGCUGGAGGGGGCAUAUGUGGGAACCUGAGAAGGAAAGUGGAUGCCUCUGGUAGCAAAGACCAGCCUCCAGCCAACAAGAAAACACAAACCUCAGUCUUGCACCCCUAAUGUCUGUGGGAAUUUGUUACAGCCAUAAUGGAAAACCAAUGCAAAAGAGAGAAGAGAAGAGAGGAAUGAAAACCAGGAGAAAUACAGAAGACAAAUACCUAAAUAUUAGGCAUAUCUAAAUGCACACACAUCUACACUUAGUGGUAGGGGACUAAAAGGCAGAGAUUAUCAGGAUGGAUUUUAAAAAGCAAGACUGUUUGCUAUCUUCAAGAGAUGCACUUUAAAUAUAAAGACACAGACAAAUUGAAAGUAAAUUAGUAGUGAAAGGUAUCACACACAGAGCCAGGAAGCAUUAGAAGGCUGGACCAUCUGUAAUAGCAUCAGACAAAACAGACUUCAAGACAAAGAGUAUUUACCACAGGAACAUUUCAUAAUGAUAAAAGGGUCAAUUCAUCAGGAAGAUAGAAUAGUCAUAAAUGUAUAUGCACUUAAUAACAGAAUCUCAAAGUAUAUGAUAGCGCUAAGGGGAAAAAGAGAUAACACCACAAUCACAGUUUCUCUUCAGUCACAGAUAUUUGCAAUUACUUAUUAUUUGUCUGUAAAUCAACUCAACUUUCACAAUGUAAUUAAGGUAUUUUAAGGGAAAUUUUAUAGCUAGCAUAAAUAGGAAACUCUAUGUCACUUACAUAAAUCAUCACCAUAAAAAUAAAGCAAACUGUAUUAUUACAUUCCGGCAUUCGUGCAUUAGUGCAUGCCUGCUCUGUGAGCCCACUUUCUUUAAUGCUGUACUGCCUAAAACCAUCUCAUUCACCUGAUGCAUCCGUGUUCUGGGAGACACUGACGUAACCCAACCCUCUCAUGUAUGCAAAAGAGGAGACCGACUGGUCUCAUGUCACAAAACAGGUGACUGCCAGACUGUCUUCCAAUCCUUUGCUAGAACCCAAAGGCCCAAAUCCUGAACCAACUCAGGAGAGUUCAGUUGUAUAUUAUACAUAUUUAAAAUUUUUUAUGUAUUAUGAUGUUUUAACACCUUAAAAAGCCUUUCUGACUUUUUAAGGGUAGAGACUGUCCCUCCUGGGGUUUCCAGUUCUUAGAGAUGGUAGAGGACUCAGCAAGAGCAUGGCCUUGAUAUGCAGACACACCGAUCUGGAGCCACACUGCCUCCAUCUGGCCCAUAUACCCUAAGGGGCAAAAUUCUUCUGCCUUAAUCACCCAAGGACAAGGUGCCUGGCACCUUCAGUCCAUCCCUUUAGUUUAGAGCCCAGGGAAAUUAUUCCAAUUGGCCAGUCCCAAUCUGCUGUACCCUGUCCUCUUUGCCUUUCCCUCAGAAACCCCCCCAAAAAAGUCUGCCUUAAGUGUUUUGCUCCCCCAGCUCCUGCUUGCUGACCAAAACCCGGUGGAUCUCCUCCUGGGGAUCUGCUGCAUCUCUCGGAUCAAGGGAACCAGGAGUAACAUCAAACUUUUCUUUCCUUGGCACUGACAUUCCCAUGUCAUCACUCAGUCACCUUUAUAAAUUAAGACCCAGAUGCUGGUCACUGUGCUGGGAGCAAUCCACAUCCCAGGAUACUCAGAUGUCAUCUGUAGUGUUACAGAAAAUGGGGAGGGAGUGCUCCAAUUCCAGUAACGGAAGCUCAGGCAGGCGCUCCCACCCCAUCGGAGCCUCACAAAAAGACGCAGGUCCUCUGAAGCUGCUCAGCUGGCAUGACUUGUAAAUCCACCCCUGGAAGGGAAGCCACUAUCCAUCAGGUGGCCAGCCUGGCGCCACACUGGGUGAGGAAUGAGAUCUCAGAAUCCACGUGUUAUCAGGGAAAGGCUGCCACGUUAGUGGAAUACAAAAUAGCUUAUCUUGCCUGGGCUCGGCUUGCUGCCGUAAAUGAACUUUGUCCAAUGUUGCCUCUGCUUCCAACAACAAAGACAUUAACUCUCUGCUUUCCCUAAUUGAUCACAGUGAUUUAUCCCUCAUCAACCAGCCACAUGGGCACCAUUCAACAUGAAGCUGGCCUGCAAGACCCCAGUUUCAAAAUGUAAACUUUAGGAAGUUAGUUAAAUCUCUAAAUAACUUUUUAAUCUGUAAAACUGAGGAAAUAUUAUUCCCGUUACUCUAAGUGAGCGAAUUAUAAUAAAAAUUAAUAACAUGCAUUACGCGAUAUCUGCCAGAUACUAUGCGAAGCCUAUCAAGUGUCCUGGAGCAGGCAUGAAGGCUGUAAGGAGAACUGUGUGCACGUCAAGGUGCCCAGUGCACAGGGUACCACCUACUCCAGGGCUGAAAGUUGAAGGCAGAACUCAAGCACGUGUUUAGGCAACCCUGCCAGUGAAUUUUAAGUAGCAGAGUGGAGCAAAAUUUGCCCCCUUAAAAUGUGUCUCUUUGGCACAUGGAUUGUUUUGACCUUCCCCCUACUGCCUGAAAGGAUUUAAAUGGAGGAGCUAUUCCAGGAAGAACUAUCACCAUAGAUAACUAGGAACUGCAUCUUCUGUAUCUUCAAUCGCCUUCCUCUUUUAAGUCCCAAAUCCCAACCCUCUUUUUCUCUCAGAUAACACAUAAGCCUCAACUGCCUAACUUGUCCUUGGGUCUCUAUUUUUAUAGAGCACCCGUAUGUACACAAUUAAAUUUGGUUUUUUCUUGUUCUCUGUCUCAUGUCAGUUUAAUUUUUAGACCAGCCAGAAGAACCUAGAAAGAGUAGAGGAGUAUUUUUCCUUCCCCAACACUAGUGCAUAUGUAAAUGUGCCCAGUCCUCUUUCCAUCCCUUACCACAGCUGCAUACACACACGCACACGUACAGACAUGCACCCACACGUGCAUGCACACAUAUGCAUACUUCGGUUCGCUCAGUUGGCUUUCUCCAGGUAAGUAGACUUUGGUAAAUAUACACCUCUCUUAGGCUCAGUCCCAAUUCUAAGCAAACUGAAAAGCCUUUCUAGUUCCCAAAAGAAGGGCAUUCACAAUUAGAUUGGCUCUAGAGCUUGACCAGGGAGGUAACAAAGGAGCUUUGGCAAGAACACGAUAGAGAUGGUUUGAGAAGGCAGUGGACUUGGACUUAGAACUUAGAGCCUGGCUCUUAUUCGCUGGGUGAGUUUGGACAUAUUCUUCACCUUUCUGAGUGUCUCCUGUGCAACACGAGACAGCUGGAUGUUGCAUUUCUUGGCUGCUACAUUUCUGGAACAGUAUGAUACUACAGUGUAAGCACAUCAUCAACCACUCACAUUUCAAAGCAUCCAUGGAGAAGCUGUGUGCUUCAGAGGAUGGAAGUGCAUAGGCCUGGUUCAUCUUCUUGUCUGUGUGAACUUGGGCAGGUCUCCUAACCUCACUUAGUCUCAAUGUGCUUAUCUGUAGAAAGGUGAUUAUAAUUCCUAGCCUGGCUGGGCUUUUGUAAUGAUUAACAUGAGGCUGUAAAGUGCUCCAUGGGUCUUUUCCUCCUCCUCUUCCUUCUUCUAAUUCUCCUCAAUGAAUAAAGGGUCUACCCUCAGUGAUAACAUCAAAUUUCUCCCACUCUGUGACCUGGGUCAAGUUCAUCAUGAAAACAGUUCUGCCAAUAGGAAUAUUCCUCCAGAAGGCUGUUCAUUACUUUUCUCUUUGGAGACCAGAAAACAGGGUAUCAACCACUGGUGGCUCUCAGAAGAUGAAAGCCAGUAGCUUUGUACUCUGAGCGGCUGAGCCAACGUACCACAGGAACCCGUGAUGUCUUAAUCUCUGUUCUGAUGACAUGAU
rnacentral:lncRNA from 1 species